CGUUCUGUUCAUUAAAUUCUAAAAGCAUUUAAAAAAAUGCUUUAAAGAAAAUGCUCUAAAGUAUUAAACAGCUCUAAAGCGUUUAAGAAACAAAUAAAGAAGGUGUAAAAAAACAGGUAAAGAAGGCGUUUAAAAAACAUAUCUGUUUCUUAAACAUAUCUUUUGUUUUUUGUUUUCUUUUGUUUGUCCCGGGGAAGGUUUUUGCCAAUUCACUCCUGAGGGCUUGUAGCUCAGUUGGUUAGAGCGCGCGCUU
rnacentral:misc_RNA from 1 species